rnacentral:rRNA from 1 species
GGUUAAGCGACUAAGCGUACACGGUGGAUGCCUAGGCAAUCAGAGGCGAUGAAGGACGUGCUAAUCUGCGAAAAGCGUCGGUAAGGUGAUAUGAACCGUUAUAGCCGACGAUGUCCGAAUGGGGAAACCCAGUGCAAUUCGUUGCACUAUCGUUUGAUGAAUCCAUAGUCAAACGAGGCGAACCGGGGGAACUGAAACAUCUCAGUACCCCGAGGAAAAGAAAUCAACCGAGAUUCCCCUAGUAGCGGCGAGCGAACGGGGAGCAGCCCAGAGUCUUAAUCAGCAUCAGCAUCAGGAGAACGGUCUGGAAAGGCCGGCAAUAAAGGGUGAUAGCCCCGUAUCCGAAGGUGUUGGUGUUGUGAACUCGACGAGUAGGGCGGGACACGUGUUAUCCUGUCUGAAUAUGGGGGGACCAUCCUCCAAGGCUAAAUACUCCUGAUUGACCGAUAGUGAACCAGUACCGUGAGGGAAAGGCGAAAAGAACCCCGGCGAGGGGAGUGAAAUAGAACCUGAAACCGUGUACGUACAAGCAGUGGGAGCCUUGAUUUAUCAGGGUGACUGCGUACCUUUUGUAUAAUGGGUCAGCGACUUAUAUUCUGUAGCAAGGUUAACCGAAUAGGGGAGCCGUAGGGAAACCGAGUCUUAACUGGGCGAAUGAGUUGCAGGGUAUAGACCCGAAACCCGGUGAUCUAGCCAUGGGCAGGUUGAAGGUUGGGUAACACUAACUGGAGGACCGAACCGACUAAUGUUGAAAAAUUAGCGGAUGACUUGUGGCUGGGGGUGAAAGGCCAAUCAAACCGGGAGAUAGCUGGUUCUCCCCGAAAGCUAUUUAGGUAGCGCCUCGUGAACUCAUCUUCGGGGGUAGAGCACUGUUUCGGCUAGGGGGUCAUCCCGACUUACCAACCCGAUGCAAACUACGAAUACCGAAGAAUGUUAUCACGGGAGACACACGGCGGGUGCUAACGUUCGUCGUGAAGAGGGAAACAACCCAGACCGCCAGCUAAGGUCCCAAAGUCAUGGUUAAGUGGGAAACGAAGUGGGAAGGCUCAGACAGCCAGGAUGUUGGCUUAGAAGCAGCCAUCAUUUAAAGAAAGCGUAAUAGCUCACUGGUCGAGUCGGCCUGCGCGGAAGAUGUAACGGGGCUAAACCAUGCACCGAAGCUGCGGCAGCGACAUGUAAAUGUUGUUGGGUAGGGGAGCGUUCUGUAAGCCUGUGAAGGUGUGCUGCGAGGCAUGCUGGAGGUAUCAGAAGUGCGAAUGCUGACAUAAGUAACGAUAAUGCGGGUGAAAAACCCGCACGCCGGAAGACCAAGGGUUCCUGUCCAACGUUAAUCGGGGCAGGGUGAGUCGACCCCUAAGGCGAGGCAGAAAUGCGUAGUCGAUGGGAAACAGGUUAAUAUUCCUGUACUGGUGAUAAUUGCGAUGGGGGGACGGAGAAGGCUAGGCUGGCCGGGCGACGGUUGUCCCGGUUUAAGGAUGUAGGUGGGCGAAUUAGGCAAAUCCGGUUCGCUAUACACUGAGGUCUGAUGACGAGUCACUACGGUGGCGAAGUAGCUCAUGCCCCGCUUCCAGGAAAAGCCUCUAAGCUCUAGAUUAUCAUUAAUCGUACCCCAAACCGACACAGGUGGUCAGGUAGAGAAUACUCAGGCGCUUGAGAGAACUCGGGUGAAGGAACUAGGCAAAAUGGUGCCGUAACUUCGGGAGAAGGCACGCUGGCAUUAGGUGAAGUGGUUUACCCAUGGAGCUGAAGCCAGUCGCAGAUACCAGCUGGCUGCAACUGUUUAUUAAAAACACAGCACUGUGCAAACACGAAAGUGGACGUAUACGGUGUGACGCCUGCCCGGUGCUGGAAGGUUAAUUGAUGGGGUUAUCCGUAAGGAGAAGCUCUUGAUCGAAGCCCCAGUAAACGGCGGCCGUAACUAUAACGGUCCUAAGGUAGCGAAAUUCCUUGUCGGGUAAGUUCCGACCUGCACGAAUGGCGUAAUGAUGGCCAGGCUGUCUCCACCCGAGACUCAGUGAAAUUGAACUCGCUGUGAAGAUGCAGUGUACCCGCGGCAAGACGGAAAGACCCCGUGAACCUUUACUAUAGCUUGACACUGAACAUUGAGCCUUGAUGUGUAGGAUAGGUGGGAGGCUUUGAAGUGUGGACGCCAGUCUGCAUGGAGCCAACCUUGAAAUACCACCCUUUAAUGUUUGAUGUUCUAACGUAGCCCCAUAAUCUGGGGUGCGGACAGUGUCUGGUGGGUAGUUUGACUGGGGCGGUCUCCUCCCAAAGCGUAACGGAGGAGCACGAAGGUUGGCUAAGCAUGGUCGGACAUCAUGCGGUUAGUGCAAAGGCAUAAGCCAGCUUGACUGCGAGAGUGACGGCUCGAGCAGGUACGAAAGUAGGUCUUAGUGAUCCGGUGGUUCUGAAUGGAAGGGCCAUCGCUCAACGGAUAAAAGGUACUCCGGGGAUAACAGGCUGAUACCGCCCAAGAGUUCAUAUCGACGGCGGUGUUUGGCACCUCGAUGUCGGCUCAUCACAUCCUGGGGCUGAAGUAGGUCCCAAGGGUAUGGCUGUUCGCCAUUUAAAGUGGUACGCGAGCUGGGUUUAGAACGUCGUGAGACAGUUCGGUCCCUAUCUGCCGUGGGCGUUGGAAGAUUGAAAGGGGCUGCUCCUAGUACGAGAGGACCGGAGUGGACGCACCGCUGGUGUUCGGGUUGUCAUGCCAAUGGCACUGCCCGGUAGCUAAGUGCGGAAGAGAUAACCGCUGAAAGCAUCUAAGCGGGAAACUUGCCUUGAGAUGAGUCUUCCCUGACUCUUUAAGGGUCCUAAAGGAACGUUUAAGACGAAGACGUUGAUAGGCUGGGUGUGUAAGCGUAGCGAUACGUUGAGCUAACCAGUACUAAUGAACCGUGAGGCUUAACCUG